UACAGAGGGUGCGAGCGUUAAUCGGAUUUACUGGGCGUAAAGCGUACGUAGGCGGCUAUUUAAGUCAGAGGUGAAAGCCCGGGGCUCAACUCCGGAAUUGCCUUUGAAACUGGGUAGCUUGAACAUGGGAGAGGUAAGUGGAAUUCCGAGUGUAGAGGUGAAAUUCGUAGAUAUUCGGAGGAACACCAGUGGCGAAGGCGGCUUACUGGACCAUUGUUGACGCUGAGGUACGAAAGCGUGGGGAGCAAACAGG
rnacentral:rRNA from 1 species